ACAGAUCGAUGACAUCAGUUUAUUUAAUUGGGGAAAUUGGUCAUGGCACUUGAGUCAAGACACCACUGUACACGACUAAGUUCUAUGUUCAUGCAGCACAUUGUGAACAAACGUAGAGCGUCAUUUGAGAAUUUGAAAAGCUGAGAUACAUUGCCCUGCUUCAAUCCGGUGAUACCACUAAUGGCUCCUAAGCAGCUCCAUGAAAUCAAGCAGCUGUCAUGUCGAUGCAUCAGCGGCGUGAGGAGGGAACACCAUCCCCAUAAGGACAGGGGGGUCUCUGUGCCUUCAUGUUUGGCUAAACAUCUGCUUCUCGGCACUAUGUCUUUGCAGCAAUAAAUGGCCAAACAAAAGAGGUGGGAGGUGAAAUGAUCACAUUUUCCAUUUCAAAGCAUUUGCUUGUUUGGUUUGGGUUUUCCUUUCCUGUCCCCUUUGGACAUUGAUCUUAAGUUUGGCUCCACUGACUCAAUGUGUGCAACAACAUGGAACAGCUGAAAAUAAGAGAUAGAAGUGUGUUUUUUGGACCUGUGAGCUCCCCAAGUUUAACUCCAGACUAAAAAAGUGUGCAGCAAUAACUACAAUAAGAGAUAAAAGGAUGCUAUGAUGAUUAAUGGAGUCUCUUUUUAGAAUCUGAAGCAUAGCUCAACAUGGAUUACAACAGACAAGAGAUACACUCUUUCCCCAAUCAAUGUACUUUUAUGUUAACAAGCUUAUAUUAAUUAAAAGACAGUUCAUUUCAGAUUAAUUCGUGCUAUUUGGACAGAAUUGACACUGACAAUUCUCCCCUUAAUAAGAUUCAUAGUAAUUAACAUCCUUCCUUGUUUCCCUUCCUCCCCCUCUUUCAAGUCCCAUUUUGCUUCAUUCAAAGAUCAACAAAGCACUACGUACUGUGGUUCAACUUGAAUUCACAUUUUCACAAACCAUAAAUAAUACACACUUGUGUGUGAAGGGGCAGUUGAUCCCUGGUUUCAACUAUUUCAUAUCCACCUGCUUAUCGAAAAUGACGAGCUAUGUCGCCUUCUGGAAGCACCGACGUCUUGUCCACUCACGGCUAACUCAACCGCUCAUUACAUUCGCUUCCAUAAACGUCAAAGACAAACUCCUCAAUAUACCCCCGUGUGCUCCCCCGUCACCGACACCCGUUUUGUGAUGUUUUUUAGGUCUAAAACUUUGUUUCUAAAACUUGGGAAGACAACGUGGAUGUAUGUGAAGCAUUGACCAGAGGAAAGGAGCUGGGAGAUUUUGGCGUCCAGGGUGGGCUGAGUCCAACAGAAUUUCGGCCACUCUUCUUUAUUGCAGCAUGCAAAUCCUCAAGAGUAGGUUGACGACUUACAGAUCAUACAUCUGAGAAUGUAGGAGAUGGGGCGGAGCUGUAGUUCCUCCAUCAAAAUCCUCCCCAUCUGCCUAUGUAGCCUCUGGCCCCCCUGCUGUAUUUCUCCAUCGACUCUCGUCGCAGUGCUGACAGGUCGUGAGGAAUGACAGUGUUUGUCAUACAGUAGCAGCAAGAAGCAAGGAUUUUUUAAUUGCACUGGAGAAUCUUCAUUAUGGCGAGUGCGUGGGGGCGGGCAGCAUAGGAGUGCGUGUGUGUGUGUGUGUGUGUGUGUGUGUGUGUG